UGGUGGUUAUGGAGUGGUUGGAAGACCCCUGGUGUGACCCUGGGGGGAUCCCAGUGAUGUUUCUGGAGAGGUUGGGGACCCCUGGUGACACCUUGGGGACCCUGGUGAUGCUUUGGAGGACCCUGGUGUGACCUUGGAGGACCCCGGUGACAUCUUGGGGGACCCUGGUGGUGAUCCUGAUGUGGUUGGAGGUCCCACGGUGACACCUUGGGGGACCCUGAUGACACUUCGGAGGACCCCAGUGAGACCUUGGGGGACCUCGGUGACACCUUGGAGGACCCCAGCGGUGGUCCUGGAGCGGUUGGAGGUCCCACAGAGACAUCUUGGAGGACCCCAGUGAGACCCUGGGGACCCCAGUGACACCUUGGAGGACCUCAACGGUGGUCAUGGAGCGGUUGAAAGUCCCACGGUGACACUUUGGGGGGACCCCGAUGACAAUUCUGGAGUGGUUGGAGGACCCCCGGUGGGCAUCUUGGGGGACCUCGGUGACAUCUUAUGGACAGGCAAGGGUCCCUGGUGACAACUUGGGGACACCCAGAGGACCCCAGUGUCACUUGGAGGACUGAAGUGACAUCUUGGAGGACCUCCGGUGACAAUUCUGGAGUGGUCGGAGGACUGAAGUGACACUUCUGGAGUGGUUGGAUGACCCCCGGUGACACCUUGGAGGACCCAGGUGACACUCCUGGAGCGGUUGGAGGACCCCGGAUGACAACUUGGGGACAUUCUUGGAAUGGCCUGGGUGACCCUGGUGACAUUUGGGGACCCCUGGUGACAUUUGGGGUCACUUGGAGGACUCUGGGAACCCCUGGAAGACCCCCAUGCCAUUUGGGGUCCCUUGGAGGAUCUUGGUGUCCCUUGGAGGACUCUGGGGACUCCUGGAGGACCCCUAAUGCCAUUUGGGGUCCCUUGGAGGACUUUGGGGACCCCUGGAGGACCCCCAAUGCCAUUUGUGGAGGACUUUGGGGACACCUGGAGGACCCCAAUUCCAUUUGGGGUCCCUUGGAGGACUCGGGACCCCCCGAGGACCUCCAAUGCCAUUUGGGGUCUCUUGGAGGACUUUGGGGUCCCCCGAGGGCCUCCAAUGCCAUUUGGGGUCCCUUGGAGGACUCUGGGGACCCCUGGAGGACCCCCGAUUCCAUUUGGGGUCCCCUGGAGGACUUUGGGGACCCCUGGAGGACUUUGGGGUCCCCCGGAGGAUCUCUAAUGCCAUUUGGGGUCCCUUGGAGGACUCUGGAGACCCCUGGAGGACUUUGGGGUCCCCCGGAGGACCCCCAGUUCCAUUUGGGAUCCCUUGGAGGACUUUGGGGUCCCUUGGAGGACUUUGGACCCCCAUUUUGGGCUCACAGGGCCGUUUCUCCUCUCCGUGUUUUACAGUCGAAUAAAACAAAGGGGAAAUUUUCAGAUGAUUCUUUCCCAGUUCAUCCCAGUAUCCCCCACUUUUGUCCCAGUUCCUCCCAGUGCCCUCCCAGUUCAUCCCAGUACCUCCCAGUUCCCUCCCCAUUCCUUCCAGUUCUCCCAGUUCCUCCUAGUUCUCUCCCAGUUUGUCUCAGUCUCUCCCAGUUCAUCCCAGUUUCUCCAGUAUCUCCCAGUCUGCCUGGUCCCUCCCAGUUCACCCCACUUCCUUCCCAGUUCUCUCCCAGCCCCUCCCAGUUCAUCCCAGUUCCCCUCCCAAUUCCUCCCAGUUUCCUCCCAGUUCAUCCCAAUACCCUCCUAGUCCCUCCCAGUUCAUCCCAGUACCCUCCCAGUUCAUGCCAGUACCUCCCAGCUCUUUCCCAGUUCAUCCUGGUUCCCCCCCAGCCCCCCUAG
ensembl:lncRNA